rnacentral:rRNA from 1 species
UACGUAGGGUGCAGGCGUUAAUCGGAAUUACUGGGCGUAAAGCGUGCGCAGGCGGUUUUGUAAGCCAGAUGUGAAAGCCCCGGGCUUAACCUGGGAAUGGCAUUUGGGACUGCAAGGCUGGAGUGUGGCAGAGGAGACUGGAAUUCCUGGUGUAGCAGUGAAAUGCGUAGAUAUCAGGAGGAAUACCGAUGGCGAAGGCAGGUCUCUGGGCUGACACUGACGCUCAUGCACGAAAGCGUGGGGAGCAAACAGG